CGAAGACGUCGCGUGUGGAGGACAGUUGUCAGCGACUGAGAAUUCGCCCCCUCACGUCGUCCAGUUCGCGGUUCAGUCCAGCCAAGAAUUCAUAUACUCGUUCACUUUCUACCCUUUUCUUGUAUCGAACUCCAUCAUUGGGGCAGUCCCACUGUUCAUCAACGCUGAGAUCUAAUUCUUGCCAAAGGGUGGUCAUUUCCAUGUAGUACUCAGUGACGGUCCUUUCUCCUUGUUUAGCCUGCCACAAUUUCAUUUUAAUUUCAAAAAUUUGUGAUGAGUCUUCUGCAUAUGAGUACAAAUCCCGUGCUGCGUCCCAUAUGUCUUUUGCGGUAGCCAUGAAGAGAAAAAUUUUGCCAAUUGCCGGUUUCAUUGAAUUAACAAGCCACACCAUCAUCAUGGAAUUUACAGAUUUCCACUUCUGUUGGAGGUUUGCAUCCGUAGGUUGUUUCACUUCUCCGGUAAGAUAGCCAAUUUUUCCUUUCCCGUCGACUACCAAUUUGAUGGAUUGAGCCCAUUCCCUGUAGUUUGUACCAUUGAGUUUCUCCACGGUAAGUUGGAAGGAGGAACUAUCGAUUCCAAUUGAAUUCAUGGUGGUGACAGGGUCGACCUUGCUGGUUUCGGAUUCGAAGAAAACUGAUUCCUUACUUUGGGCUGUGUUUUCAGCCAUUGAUUUCUGGGUUUUAGUGUUUCCCGUGCUCUAAUACCAUAUGGACGAAUGAGAGAAAAAACUUUUUAUUCUUUUUCUCAAUAAUUAUUCCAAUACAACUUGCCCCAAUAUAUACACCAUACAUGGUAGUAGGAAAAGGAAAAAAUAUUCUAACUAAAGAAGAAAAUAAAACUUUCCUAACCUAGAGACAAUCAUACCAUAAAUAUAAAUACAAUAAUCCCAUGAUUGAUUUGGGAUUCCUACAAUUCUUACAGAAACUAUGAUUAAAGUCAUAUUUUGAAGUAUCAUACUAGUGAGGUAAUCAAUUCUUGCCUUUUCUGCCUCUGAAUGUGUGUUGCAUGGACAUCUCUAGAGAUCUCCAAUUUUGAACCAUCUUUUCUAAGAGCUUAAACUUUUAGAGAGGCGGCAUUUUUAGUUUCAUUUUUUUUUUUUAAUAUUUUUGUCAACAUGUCCCUCACGUGCAAGCCAAUUCACUUUUUGUCAAAGGGAUGACAUGUGCAAAAUUUUCAUAAUUGGGUGGGAUUGAGACGUGAGCUCAUGACCUUGCUUGCUAUGAUACAAUGUUGAACUAGGAUUAGAUUACACUGAGCUGCUUUCAAUUAGAUUGACUCAUGUUAGUUUCCAUCAUUUUCUACAGAUAUGCAGCCAUUUGGGUGCUUGACAUAUUGUAAAGUCCAGUAAUUUUUCACAUAGACCCAUUAUACAAAAAUGCUCACCUUUAGUGAAGUAAUUGAGAGGGGGAACCGGAUGAAAUAAAUAGUGAGUGUUAGGAAGACCUGGCGAGGAGUAAUCUUUUCACGAAAAGGAAUUGAUUUCAAUAUGUAUCUUGCUUAUUCCUUGUUGCCUUUGUUCUAUUGGGUUCUCUCCUUUAUACAGUUGUGCUUAGUUCUUAUUUUUGAUACUGUGACCCAGGUUUCUUUUCCUUUGUUCUCUUGCUGAAUUGACGGGAAAUCUGAGAUCACAUUUUGUCUUCAACAAGUUAGAACAUUUUUAUAAGCAUACUUAGAUAAUUUUUUAUGGCUAAUCUUUGUGUUCAAAUUUGUUCAUUUAUCUCACCUAAUUCAAGUUUAAAAUAGUUGUUAAUCAUUGCAGGUGCAAGCUGUUACAAUCCAUGCCACCAAUUACUACUGCAUGACAGCUUCUCUUGAUAACACAUGGUGCUUCUAUGAAAUUGCUUCUGGUUUAUGUCUCGCUCAGGUCUCAGCCCUCCCUAUUCUUAAAUGCACCUGUGUACUAACUCAAAUGUUUAUCUCGUUAUAGCUCUGUUACUUCUGGUUUUAAGUUAUUUUCCAGGUUUAAGAGACUUCGGGAUCUUCUGAAGGCUAUACAUCUGCAUCUUUUCACCCCCGAUGGUCUCAUCCUUGGAACCAGUACCUUUGGGUCUGUACUUCUCAUGAUCAGAUUGAACUUUCCUUCUGUUUCUUUCUAUUUCCUAAGUAGUUUGAUUUUAUUUUUUUUCAUGUGUAGGCAAAUGCUGCUAGAUUUGAGGGGCAUGUUAGGGCAGUAACUGCAAUUUCAUUUUCAGAGAAUGGUUAAUUCCUAGCCGUAGGUUUUAUUCUACAAUUAACAAAAACAACGUGGCUGAAGGUGAUAAAUUCCAUUGUCUGAUUGUUUUCCAAUUUUUCCAGACUGCAGCUCAAGAUGGUGUUGAGCUUUAGGAUCUACGCAAAUUGAAGAACUUUAGGACUUUUACUCGUUAUGAUGAAAAUACACCAACACAAUCAGGUGCUUUUACCUUUUUCAUGUCGAGCAUAUACUUACGUUUAGCUCCGUCUAGACUGUGGCUUGUGAGUGCAAAACUUCUAGAAUGUGGUCUCCUGCUCAUGAUUGUCAGCAGUAUUUGUAAGCCAUUGCUCGGGACAUACCCAACAGCCAUCUAAUACUUUACGUAACAGGUCAAGAGCAUGUCUUUGAUGUUAUUCUAGUUUCAAAUAGACAAUGCAAUAUUUUCUAUCUUUGGCUGGUGUUUGAAAUUCUCACAUUUAACCAUGCUUUAAAUUUAUAGGGGAAUGCUCCCUCUACCAGUGUUUGACGAAUAAUCUGAACCCCUUAAAUUGAAUCUAAUCUAAGGGUCUCAAUCAAUUAUACUAAAAUCCUUAAAAAAUUAUAUCCCCACAUUCAAACUCACCAUAAUUACCUUUUAAAAAUCACCAAUUACCAUCUAGAGAACCUUUUUUUCCAAGUUGGUGUUUUCCUGGGUCUGCACCAUUAGGUAGAAGAGCGAUUUCAUCGAAAUUAAAAAAAUAGACGGGCAUAACUCAUUCCUUCAUGAAAUUAGAGUCUUUUGCAUGUACUUUUGCUUGAAGAGAAAUUGUGUGGCUCGGGAACAUGUUGGGACAAGUACCUUCGAUAGAAAUCUAUCAGAUUGUGGCUUCAUGUACCAUACAUUUCUACAUCGCUGCAUCCAAUAUUUUUGUUCUAACAAUGUGAUGGAGAAGAGAUCGUCUAUUUUAUUUUUUUAUUUUUUAAACGAAUUACGGUUCAUCUCUUUUAAAACGAAUUACAGUUGAAUUUGACCAUAGUGGAAGUUACCUUGCUCUUGGAGGCUUAGAUAUAUGGUAAUAUUUCAAAUAAAACUAAAGUCCUGGUUUAGUCAUGGAUAGAAGGAUAUCACUAUCAUUGUCCAUUAUUUCUAUUUCUCGUCCCAUCUUUGAAUAUCCCAUGAACUUGGAAUUAUAUAUGUUCUCGACAUACUCAUGAUGAUUGCUAGUCAUUUUAUUCACUGUAUGCAUAUCAGCCUUUGUUGCGAUCUUAAAAGCUAAUGUCUAUGUGUUGUUGUAUGACAGAGUUUAUCAAGUUGCCAAUGUUAAGUCUGAAUGGAACUACUUGUCAGGCACAGGUUAGAUCCUCUCGUUCUGUACCAAUGACUUCUUUCACCUCACAGAGUCGUUUUUUGUCCCUUACGUUUGCCCGGGUAUGCCCGGAGUAGUUGUUUAUGUUUAUGGACAUUGAUUCGUCCGGGUAUGUCCGGUAUACUUGUAUUUGAUUUUGGACAUUGUCUCGCCCGGGUAUGCCCGGUGUAUUUGUAC
rnacentral:lncRNA from 1 species